UUCACGCGUUUCUGUGAGUUGUUACCGUUCACUUACGAAAUAACGUAAACAAAAACACUCGCGACGGCGAACACGCAGCUACGCCUGUAGCAGAACACCGACGAGUAACUCGACUCUCGUAAUUCCUUUACAGUAGUGCCAACUGCAACACUCCCAGGGUUUUUUAGCCAAACAACGUAUUCACAUUAUCGAACCCAGCACAAAAAUAUUGCGCCAGACGUUUCUUCUGUAGUGAUCUUGUAAUGGUUUUACUUCGUCGAAAAUAGAAAUAUCGGAGGACAUUUGCAUUAGUUUACUCGAAAAAAUUAACACGUUAACGAAGAAAAAGGAUACGGCAUCAGAAAAUGCUAAUCUAAAAUUCACACGCUGCAAGAACAGCAGGGGCGUAUGUGUGAUAAAAAAAAAAGCUACUGCUGUGUCAUCCAAACAAGAAACAGCCAGGGAAAAAGCACCACAGGCACAAAGAUGCGAGCGGGUGCCAGUGCCAUAGAGACUCACCACUUGUGCGAGUUCUGCCACUGCCACAGGCGGCGCUGAGGAUGAAGACAGGCGGCGCUGAGGAUGAAGACAGGUGGCACUGAGGAUGCAGAUUUCGACUUUGCCUUGGCCAAUUACUAGCAGAGUACAAUUUGCCAAUGACCAUAUGACAACGGACAGAAGCCUACUUGGAAGAUAGAAGCACAGCUUUGGCCCACUUGGUUAUAGACCAUCGUCCGGGGCUGACUUAGACAGGGAAUGCCAUUUGUUGUAAAUUGCAUUUCCUAUGUACUGCAAAGUUUACCUACAAUUAUUUGCACUUAGCCAUUGAGGGUCAUUUUGUGUUGUAAUUUUGUGUUGUAUUACAGGCGGUGUUGCAGACUUAAUUAUUCAACAAGUCGCAAAGAUAAAUAAAGUUUUUAACUCAUU